rnacentral:ribozyme from 1 species
CUCAAGUACAUCUGGGGCGAAGAUGUCUACGACUGUUACCAUGAUUUAGCUGCAACUUGUUUUAAUGGGACAGUGACCAAUGCGAAUGGCACUGAAGUUGAAGCAGA